rnacentral:lncRNA from 1 species
GCCCUCUUUAUAUUCAAAGACACAAGUAAGUAUGGGUUGAGCCUAGUGGCUCAUGUCUGUAAUCCCAACAGCUCAGAGGCUGAGGCAGGAGGAUCACAAGUUCAAAGCCAACCUCAGAAACUUAGCAAAGCCCUAAGCAACUUAGACGCUGUCUCAAAACAAAACAAAAAAUGGGCUCUGGGUGUGGCUUAGUGGUUAAGCGCCCUUGGAUUCAAUCCCUGGUACCCCACAAAAGUAAAAGUAUGGAAAAUGAUAUUUCAUGAAAACAGUAACCAAAAGGGUACAAGAAUGUCUAUUCUAAUAUCAGACCAAAUAGAAUUGAAGACAGAAAUUUGUUAUGAAAAACUAAGGACAAUCUAUGGUAAGUUCACUAACUAUAAAAGAUAUAACAACUGUGUGUGUGUGUGUGUGUGUGUGUGUGUGUGUGUAUAUAAAACAAUGUACAUGCACCAAACAUACCCUGAAAUACUUGAAGUAAAUACUGCCAGAAUUGAAGGGAGAAAUAAAUGGUUAAAAAUUUUAUACUCUACUUUCAAUAUUAAAUAAAACCACAGGACAGAUCAGAAAAGAAGAAUGUCUAAACAGGACUGUAAACCAGCUAAACCCAAGGGAUUUCUAAAGAACACUUCACCCAACAGCACUACCCACAUCAAUGUACAUGUGACAUUUUCCAGGACAGAACAUGUUAAAUACAACAAGAGACUUGAUUAACUUAGGAAGAUUAAAUUGUAUGGAUUAUAUUCUCCAAUGGAAAUGAAAUAAAAUUGGAAAUAAGAAUAAAUUUGGAAAAUUCAAAAGCAUGUGGAAAUAAAACAAUACAUUUCCCUGGGCAUGUACUCUAUAUUAUUUAUUUGCAGUGCUGGGGAUGGAACCCAGGCCUUGUGUAUACCAGGCAAGCCCUCUACCAUGAGCCAAACCGCAGCCUACCAUACUUCCUAGGAAGAGAGAGCUGGAAUUAAUAACCUAGCAUCCUAGCUUAAGAAACUGGAAAAGUAGGAACAAACUAGGCAGGAAACAAGCAGUCGGAAGAAAACAGUAAAGUGGACUUCAAUAGCACAAAGAAUGGGGGAAACCUCCAUAAAACCAAACUUUUUUUUAGAAAAAGGUGAACAAAAAUGGCAAACGAUUAGGUUACCAAGACCACACCCCCUCUCUCUCUCCUGCGGGGCGGCGGGGUGUGGGGGGGAUAGAAAAAGGAGGACUAAAUUACUAAGAUCAGAAAAAAGGGGAUGUUAAGACUGAUUUUACAGAAAAACCAGGGAUGCGAAGAUUAUAAUGCCAAUUAAACAUCAAAGAUCACUUAAUCCCAAUACAGCAAAGGGAAAGAACCUAGUUAGUAAAGGUUAGACUGA